rnacentral:rRNA from 1 species
CCCUUAGAUGUUCUGGGCCGCACGCGUGCUACACUGAGUGGAUCAGCGGGUCAGGUUGCGCGAAAGUGUUUCCUAAUCUUUAAAUCCGCUCGUGAUGGGGAUUGACGGUUGCAAUUUUCCGUCAUGAACGAGGAAUACCUUGUAAGCGCGGGUCAUCAUCCCGCGCUGAAUACGUCCCUGCCCUUUGUACACACCGCCCGUCGCUCUUACCGAUUGAGUGGUCCGGUGAGGCUUUGGGAUCUGAGCGGAAAGAGCGUUUCGCUGUUUCUGCCCGGAAAACUCAGUCGAACCUUAUCAUUUAGAGGAAGGAGAAGUCGUAACA